rnacentral:rRNA from 1 species
UACGUAGGGUGCGAGCGUUAAUCGGAAUUACUGGGCGUAAAGCGUGCGCAGGCGGUGAGCUGUGUCCGAUGUGAAAGCCCCGGGCUUAACCUGGGAAUGGCAUUGGAAACUGGCUCGCUGGAGUGUGGCAGAGGGGGGUGGAAUUCCGCGUGUAGCAGUGAAAUGCGUAGAGAUGUGGAGGAACACCGAUGGCGAAGGCAGCCCCCUGGGCCUGCACUGACGCUCGAUGCACGAAAGCGUGGGGAGCAAACAGG